rnacentral:rRNA from 1 species
CCUAGGCAAUCAGAGGCGAUGAAGGACGUGCUAAUCUGCGAUAAGCGUCGGUAAGGUGAUAUGAACCGUUACAACCGACGAUUUCCGAAUGGGGAAACCCAGUGCAAUUCGUUGCACUAUCGUUUGAUGAAUACAUAGUCAAACGAAGCGAACCGAGGGAACUGAAACAUCUCAGUACCUCGAGGAAAAGAAAUCAACCGAGAUUCCCCUAGUAGCGGCGAGCGAACGGGGAGCAGCCCAGAGUCUUAAUCAGCAUUAGCAUCAGGAGAACGGUCUGGAAAGGCCGGCAGUAAAGGGUGAUAGCCCCGUAUCCGAAGGUGUUAGUGUUGUGAACUCGACGAGUAGGGCGGGACACGUGUUAUCCUGUCUGAAUAUGGGGGGACCAUCCUCCAAGGCUAAAUACUCCUGAUUGACCGAUAGUGAACCAGUACCGUGAGGGAAAGGCGAAAAGAACCCCGGCGAGGGGAGUGAAAUAGAACCUGAAACCGUGUACGUACAAGCAGUGGGAGCACCUUUA